rnacentral:rRNA from 1 species
CCUUAGAGUUUGAUCCUGGCUCAGGACCAAUGCUGGCGGCGCGCCUAACACAUGCAAGUCGAACGAGCGAGAGAGAGCUUGCUUUCUCGAGCGAGUGGCGAACGGGUGAGUAACGCGUGAGGAACCUGCCUCAAAGAGGGAGACAACAGUUGGAAACGACUGCUAAUACCGCAUAAGCCCACGGGUCGGCAUCGACCAGAGGGAAAAGGAGCAAUCCGCUUUGAGAUGGCCUCGCGUCCGAUUAGCUAGUUGGUGAGGUAAUGGCCCACCAAGGCGACGAUCGGUAGCCGGACUGAGAGGUUGAACGGCCACAUUGGGACUGAGACACGGCCCAGACUCCUACGGGAGGCAGCAGUGGGGAAUAUUGCACAAUGGGGGAAACCCUGAUGCAGCGACGCCGCGUGGAGGAAGAAGGUCUUCGGAUUGUAAACUCCUGUUGUUGGGGAAGAUAAUGACGGUACCCAACAAGGAAGUGACGGCUAACUACGUGCCAGCAGCCGCGGUAAAACGUAGGUCACAAGCGUUGUCCGAAAUUACUGGGUGUAAAGGGAGCGCAGGCGGGAAGACAAGUUGGAAGUGAAAUCUAUGGGCUCAACCCAUAAACUGCUUUCAAAACUGUUUUUCUUGAGUAGUGCAGAGGUAGGCGGAAUUCCCGGUGUAGCGGUGGAAUGCGUAGAUAUCGGGAGGAACACCAGUGGCGAAGGCGGCCUACUGGGCACCAACUGACGCUGAGGCUCGAAAGUGUGGGUAGCAAACAGGAUUAGAUACCCUGGUAGUCCACACCGUAAACGAUGAUUACUAGGUGUUGGAGGAUUGACCCCUUCAGUGCCGCAGUUAACACAAUAAGUAAUCCACCUGGGGAGUACGACCGCAAGGUUGAAACUCAAAGGAAUUGACGGGGGCCCGCACAAGCAGUGGAGUAUGUGGUUUAAUUCGACGCAACGCGAAGAACCUUACCAAGUCUUGACAUCCCUUGACAGGCAUAGAAAUAUGUAAUCUCUUCGGAGCAAGGAGACAGGUGGUGCAUGGUUGUCGUCAGCUCGUGUCGUGAGAUGUUGGGUUAAGUCCCGCAACGAGCGCAACCCUUAUGGUCAGUUACUACGCAAGAGGACUCUGGCCAGACUGCCGUUGACAAAACGGAGGAAGGUGGGGAUGACGUCAAAUUAUCAUGCCCUUUAUGACUUGGGCUACACACGUACUACAAUGGCGUUAAACAAAGAGAAGCAAGACCGUGAGGUGGAGCAAAACUCAGAAACAACGUCCCAGUUCGGACUGCAGGCUGCAACUCGCCUGCACGAAGUCGGAAUUGCUAGUAAUCGUGGAUCAGCAUGCCACGGUGAAUACGUUCCCGGGCCUUGUACUCACCGCCCGUCA